rnacentral:rRNA from 1 species
UCCUACGGGGGGCAGCAGUGAGGAAUAUUGGUCAAUGGGCGCGAGCCUGAACCAGCCAAGUCGCGUGAGGGAUGACGGCCCUACGGGUUGUAAACCUCUUUUGUCGGGGAGCAAAUUCCGUUACGUGUAACGGAGUCGAGAGUACCCGAAGAAAAAGCAUCGGCUAACUCCGUGCCAGCAGCCGCGGUAAUACGGAGGAUGCGAGCGUUAUCCGGAUUUAUUGGGUUUAAAGGGUGCGUAGGCGGACUGUCAAGUCAGCGGUAAAAUACGGGGGCUCAACCUCCGCCCGCCGUUGAAACUGACGG